GCCAGCGUGGUGUAGUGGUUUGAACACUGGACUGCAACUCUGGAGACUAGAGUUUGAAUCCCCAUUUGGCA